rnacentral:rRNA from 1 species
UACCAGCACCCCGAGUGGUCGGGACGUUUAUUGGGCCUAAAGCAUCCGUAGCCGGUUCUACAAGUCUUCCGUUAAAUCCAACUGCUUAACAGGUGGGCUGCGGAAGAUACUAUAGAGCUAGGAGGCGGGAGAGGCAAGCGGUACUAGAUGGGUAGGGGUAAAAUCCGUUGAUCCAUUGAAGACCACCAGUGGCGAAGGCGGCUUGCCAGAACGCGCUCGACGGUGAGGGAUGAAAGCUGGGGGAGCAAACCGG